rnacentral:pre_miRNA from 1 species
CUACUACUCCCUCCGUCCGAAAAUACUUGUCAUUGAAAUGGAUGUAUCUAGAUGUAUUUUAGUUCUAGACACAUCCAUUUUGAUGACAAGUAAUUCCGGACGGAUGGAGUAUUAU